rnacentral:rRNA from 1 species
GUGCAGCAGGCGAGAAACUUCACACUGUGCGAAAGCACGAUGAGGGAAUCCCAAGUGCUUGCACGUAAGUGUAAGCUGUUUCUCUGUCUAAAACGCAGAGAGAGUAAGGGCUGGGUAAGACGGGUGCCAGCCGCCGCGGUAAUACCUGCAGCUCAAGUGGUGACCGUUAUUAUUGGGCCUAAAACGUCCGUAGCCGGUUUAAUAAAUGCCUGGGUAAAUUGUGUAGCUUAACUAUACGAAUUCCGGGUAGACUGUUAAACUUGAGACCGGGAGAAGUUAGAGGUACUCCUGGGGUAGGGGUGAAAUUCUGUAAUCCUAGGGGGACCACCAGUGGCGAAGGCGUCUAACUAGAACGGGUCUGACGGUGAGGGACGAAGCCCUGGGGCGCAAACGGGGAUUAGAUACCCCCGUAGU